GGGGGAUAUUGCACAAUGGAGGAAACUCUGAUGCAGCAACGCCGCGUGAGGGAAGACGGUUUUCGGAUUGUAAACCUCUGUCCUCAGGGACGAUAAUGACGGUACCUGAGGAGGAAGCUCCGGCUAACUACGUGCCAGCAGCCGCGGUAAUACGUAGGGAGCAAGCGUUGUCCGGAUUUACUGGGUGUAAAGGGUGCGUAGGCGGCCCUGCAAGUCAGGCGUGAAAGGCGGAGGCUUAACCUCCGAGCUGCGUUUGAAACUGUGGGGCUUGAGUGGAGCAGAGGCAGGCGGAAUUCCCGGUGUAGCGGUGAAAUGCGUAGAGAUCGGGAGGAACACCAGUGGCGAAGGCGGCCUGCUGGGCUUUAACUGACGCUGAGGCACGAAAGCAUGGGUAGCAAAC
rnacentral:rRNA from 1 species